UACGUAGGGGGCUAGCGUUGUCCGGAAUCAUUGGGCGUAAAGCGCGUGUAGGCGGUCCGGUAAGUCCGCUGUGAAAGUCGGGGGCUCAACCCUCGAAUGCCGGUGGAUACUGUCGGGCUAGAGUGCGGAAGAGGCAAGUGGAAUUCCCGGUGUAGCGGUGAAAUGCGCAGAUAUCGGGAGGAACACCAAUGGCGAAGGCAGCUUGCUGGGACGGUACUGACGCUGAGGCGCGAAAGCGUGGGGAGCAAACAGG
rnacentral:rRNA from 1 species